GAUGAACGCUGGCGGCGUGCCUAAUACAUGCAAGUCGAGCGAACAGACGAGGAGCUUGCUCCUUCGACGUUAGCGGCGGACGGGUGAGUAACACGUAGGUAACCUACCUAUAAGACUGGGAUAACUUCGGGAAACCGGAGCUAAUACCGGAUAAUAUUUCGAACCGCAUGGUUCGAUAGUGAAAGAUGGCUUUGCUAUCACUUAUAGAUGGACCUGCGCCGUAUUAACUAGUUGGUACGGUAACGGCUUACCAAGGCAACGAUACGUAGCCGACCUGAGAGCGUGAUCGGCCACACUGGAACUGAGACACGGUCCAGACUCCUGCGGGAGGCCGCAGUAGGGAAUCUUCCGCAAUGGGGGAAAGCCUGACGUAGCACCGCCGGGUGAGUGAUGAAGGUCUUCGGAUCGUAAAACUCUGUUAUUAGGGAAGAUCAAACGUGUAAGUAACUGUGCUCGUCUUGACGGUACCUAAUCAGAAAGCUCCGGCUAACUCCGUG
rnacentral:rRNA from 1 species